rnacentral:rRNA from 1 species
CCUACGGGCGGCAGCAGUGAGGAAUAUUGGUCAAUGGUCGGGAGACUGAACCAGCCAAGCCGCGUGAGGGAGGAAGGUACAGAGUAUCGUAAACCUCUUUUGUCAGGGAACAAAGACUGGGACGCGUCCCCGGAUGAGUGUACCUGAAGAAAAAGCAUCGGCUAACUCCGUGACAGCAGCCGCGGUAAUACGGAGGAUGCGCGCGUUAUCCGGAUUUAUUGGGUUUAAAGGGGGCGCAGGCGGUCUGUUAAGUCAGCGGUAAAAGCCCGGGGCUCAACCCCGGCCCGCCGUUGAAACUGGCAGUCGCGAGUUGGAGAGAAGUAGGCGGAAUGCGCGGUGUAGCGGUGAAAUGCAUAGAUAUCGCGCAGAACUCCGAUUGCGAAGGCAGCAUGCCGGCUCCACACUGACGCUGAGGCACGAAAGCGUGGGUAUCGAACAGGAUUAGAUACCCUAGUAGUC